AGGGAUUGCCUCAGUAACGGCGAGUGAAGCGGCAACAGCUCAAAUUUGAAAUCUGGCUCCCCUGGGGGCCCGAGUUGUAAUUUGUAGAGGAUGCUUCGGCGUGGGCCCCGGUCUAAGUUCCUUGGAACAGGACGUCACAGAGGGUGAGAAUCCCGUACGUGGCCGUGGGUGCUCGCCAUGUGAAGCUCCUUCGACGAGUCGAGUUGUUUGGGAAUGCAGCUCUAAAUGGGAGGUAAAUUUCUUCUAAAGCUAAAUACUGGCCAGAGACCGAUAGCGCACAAGUAGAGUGAUCGAAAGAUGAAAAGCACUUUGGAAAGAGAGUCAAAAAGUACGUGAAAUUGUUGAAAGGGAAGCGCUUGCAACCAGACCUGCCUGCGGUUGCUCAUCCGGGCUCCUGCCCGGUGCACUCUUCCGCAGUCAGGCCAGCAUCAGCUCUGGCGGUCGGAUAAAGGCGGCGGGAAUGUGGCUCCCCUCGGGGAGUGUUAUAGCCCGCCGUGCAAUGCGGCCAGCCGGGACUGAGGUCCGCGCUUCGGCUAGGAUGCUGGCGUAAUGGUUGUAAGCGGCCCGUCUUGAAACACGGACCAAGGAGUCUAACAUCUGUGCGAGUGUUUGGGUGUCAAGCCCAGGCGCGUAAUGAAAGUGAACGGAGGCGGGAACCUUCGGGUGCACCGUCGACCGAUCCUGAUGUCUUCGGAUGGAUUUGAGUAAGAGCAUAGCUGUUGGGACCCGAAAGAUGGUGAACUAUGCCUGAAUAGGGUGAAGCCAGAGGAAACUCUGGUGGAGGCUCGCAGCGGUUCUGACGUGCAAAUCGAUCGUCAAAUUUGGGCAUAGGGGCGAAAGACUAAUCGAACUAUCUAGUAGCUGGUUCCUGCGAUCUUCUCCCCACGACAAAAGAUAUAA
rnacentral:rRNA from 1 species